rnacentral:misc_RNA from 1 species
UAGCCCUGUGCCUCGGCCGACUACCGGCGCCGUGUCCCGUCACUCUUGUGGCAUUGUCCCGAUGGAUUGAACCCGUGGCUUGCGUGCUAGUACCCGACCUACGGGAAGUGGUGCUUCGUAUAAUUGUUGCCUCACGGUGGACGCCCUUUGGGUGUGCCAUUGUGACCGAAUAGCGCUUGCGGCGUUGCCUCGUACAACAGCCAUAUAAUGUGCAUGUUGAUAUCACGGCAACCUCGCUCUCGCUUUUGGUCUAGGAUGCUGCUCACGAUAAAGGCUCGAGGCCCUUCGGGUUGCCUCGAUCCGAAACAAUGUUCUCUCUCCGAAAUGGCGAUAACCGUGUUCAUGUCUUGCCUCUACCUCUCCACAGUUACGUGGUAGGAUACGCAACCCUAUGGAUCCGGCCCUCAUGGAGGAGGAGACAUGCUUUCUCCGAAAUGGCGACAACCGUGUUCAUGUCUUGCCUCUACCUCUCCACAGUUACGUGGUAGGAUACGCAACCCUAUGGAUCCGACCCUCAUGGAGGAGGAGGCAUGCUCUGUCUGAAAUGGCGACAACCGUGUUCAUGUCUUGCCUCUACCUCUCCACAGUUACGUGGUAGGAUACGCAACCCCUAUGGAUCCGRCCCUCAUGGAUGAUGAGACAUUCCCAAUGCUCUCUCUGAAAUGGCGACAACCGUGUUCAUGUCUUGCCUCUACCUCUCCACAGUUACGUGGUAGGAUACGCAACCCUAUGGAUCCGGCCCUCAUGGAGGAUGAAACAUGCCCGCUCAAAAGCGACAACUGGCUCGCUUUUUUUAAUUUCUUUCCACGCAAGUGGAAUUGCAGGGUAACUACCGACGCUGGACGUCA